UCCAGUCUCUUGAACAAAGCGAGUCAUGAAUCUGAAUCUAGAAUCAAGGCUUGGGGACAGGCUACCUUGGCUGGGGGGUGCUGCAAAGUCACGGUGUGAGAGGAGGGGGUCAAGAGUCAAGGUCAUUAACAGAGAACAAUCAUGAGUUGUACUUUUUCUUGUUGUUCAACUCCCUUAUCGUGCAGACGGGAAAACUGAGGCCCAGAGACAGAAAGUGACUAGCGGGCCCUCCUCCCCCGGGUAGUACACCAGGCCCUUCUCCUGACGGUCAAGGUUGCUCCUCCUCCACCCGGAGUAGCCACCCAGGACACAAGGACUCAUCGGUGGAUGGCGGGGGCCUUUCCCCCACGACUAACCUUCAAGGAGCCCGUCUGGAGCCCCAAUUUUAAUGUCACAUGAGAAAAACCAACUUGUGGAGGCCCAAGAAACCUCUCAGGCCACCAGCUUUCAGUCUCUGAGUUGCUCCAUGAACAGAACCACGGAAACGCCAUUCGCCCCCCUGUGGGGGAGGAGAACAGGAGCUCAUGGUCUAAAUCAAAGGAAAAUGAUCAAGGCGCCCAAGUUGGAGGCAGACUCCUGUCGGCUGUCAAGCCGAGCAGGUCAACAUCUGCCAUACAGGUCCAGCAGACAGUGGACCAAAGGCGUGUGGAGGAACAGGCCCACGUCCUGAUAUUCCAUUCUGUGCAUGCAGGCGCCAGGAGCCUGGCACUGGGGGUGAGAAACGCGGUGAAGGGCUUCAGUUCCACGGCAGUUGUGCACAGGUGCUUUCAGUCACUGCAAGGAGCAAUGUUGUAGGACCAACUCCAGGCCAGCCACCUGCUCCUGCAAGGACCUUAUUUCCUGGACCAGGGAUCAAACCCACGCCCCCUGCAGUGGAAGCUUGGAGUCUUACCCACUGAACCACCAGGUAAGCACCCUCCCGCCUGAGUCUCUGCCUUUUGAUAGGAGAGUGGAAGACAUUAACCUUUAUUGUACUGUUGGUUUAUUUAGACUUACUUGGCCAUCUUAUUUUAAUUCAUCAUGAUUUCAUUGAUCAAAUUAUCUAUUUCAUUUUCCCCCCUCAACUGCUUUGAAAAUUAUGCCUUCUGUCUCUGUUUGCCUAGUGAAUAACUGUAUAUUUUCAACACACAUACUUAGUUUUCUAAUAAUGUUUAUUGUUUAACAGCAUCUCUGUUCCAGCCUGGUCUUUGUGAAAGCUGAUAAAUCCCCGAGGCAGGGAUUAGGGAGUGGGCGAGGGGCCGCACAAGGUGCCAGGCACUGUCUCUGUUUCCGUGUAUGACCUUUAUUUAUCCUUAGAGCUGCCUGGAAAGAAGGAUUCGUCCUUCCAUUCAUGGAUGAGUUAAGUGACGCUCAAGAGCCGAAGACGGGGGUCCAGGGCUUAUCAGCAAGUGGGUGGCCAAGCAGGAGUUCUAAGUCCUGGCUCUUUCUGCCAUUUUUUGUCUGUCUGUCUGUAUGGUUCACCACUUGUCUGUACUUCCUCAACAAAGAGCCAGUGAGCUGGAGUAUGAAGACAGAGUCAGAGUUGAGUGUGUGCAGGGGAGAGAGGGGAGAGCCCUCCGCAUGGUUGACUGGUGCCUGAUUCUUGCCAGUGGGUUCAGGGUGUCUGAGAGCCCCACUGAGCCCUGGCGGGGCACACCUUCCUGCCCACAUGCUCCAGGGAGGACCACUGUGCUGGUUCGGGGGGGUGGCUGCCUCUCUCUGCCACUCAUUCAUCAGAUGCUUGCUGAGCGCCUCUUGGUGGCAGUUCCUGGCAGGGGGAUGGUUCGGGGAUCAGAAGGCAUCCAGGCGAGGCGAGAGAGAGCCGUGCAGAGGAAACAGGGCCUGGAGAUUCUUUGUUCCUUAUUAUUAUGGCUAUACUUUGAAAAGGUGAUACAUGCAUGGAAGACAAUAUCUGAACUGUACAAAAGGCUAUAGAGUCAGCCUUCUCUCCACCCGUAGGAUGAUGUCGUUAUAUAAAAGGUAAAAUAUACGUGAGGAGGUAUAAAAAAUCCAGCGGUGCCUACCUUUGGCAUUAUCUGGAGCAUAUCCUUGUGGAAAGAGUCUAUACAAAUUCAAGCGCACGAUUCUGCACACUCCUUCGUGUUUUGGUGCUGCUGGGAGAAACCCACACCUGCCGCUGUGUGCCUGACCCUCAUCACUUCCUUUAUCCCGAAGGUCACCCUUGUUGGUCCGUAGAGAACAACCUUGGUUGAGGCCACAGACAUUCCAUGAAAGGCACUGUCCAUGAUGCCUGGGAGCUCGUGAGUGGGUUUACUGUGGGACAAACCCCUGAGUUUGGAAUUGUGCGUGUGAGUGGAGGAGGGUUCCAGUCCCAGCUGCCUUCAGAGGCGCGCGUUCUCCGAGGCGCGUGCCGCUGCCACCCCAGCCGUGACAGGCUUAGCGCACGUCGUCCCGGGGCGCCAUCAAACUGAAGACUGUCUUUUAAACACAGCAGCAGGAAGAGCCUCGAGACAGGCCCCAACCCGGCGGGGUGGGGAGCUCCUAGGUGGGCUGCAUGCUGAGCCUGGAGAAGCUGGUUACCCACCUCCCGGCCACCCACCCGCAUCGCCCCGCUUCAGAUAAGACUCGGGAAGAGCGGUCAGACUCCUUAAUUGAAGCCGCGCUACCAGAUAUGGUGGAGUGUUUUUCCUUUUAAUAGCUUCAGUGAGACAUAAUUAACAUACUAUACAAUUCUCCCUUUUAAAGUGUACGAGUCAAUGCUUUUUCAGCACAUUCACAGAGUUUUACAAUCACUUUUGGAGUAUUUUCAUUACCCCAUAAAGAAAUCUUCAUCUACCCACCAGUCACCCACCCCCUCCCCUCAGCUGCCGCUGGCCGAUUUCUCUCUCUGUGGAUCUGUCCAUUCUGGACCUUUCGUGUAAGUGGAGCCCUGCAAUAGCUGGUCCUUUGUGACUGGCUUCUUCUACUUAGCAUCAUGUUUUCAGGGUUCGUCCAUAUAGCAGGGGUCCGUAUUGUAUUCUUUUUUUAUUAACAAGUAAAUAUUCAUUACUUUGU